CACUGCUCCUUGACAAGAGAAUGUAAUUCUGAAGUGCCAGUGAGGGGACAAGGGUCUUGUGGAACAGAACUGGGGACCAUCAUUGGGUGACUUCUUGCCUCAAGCUGGCUACCCUUUAGAAAGUGCCCCCAGCCUUUGCUUUCAGACUUCGUCCCUUUCUGACUUGGAGCCAACAACUGUUUUUCUACCUGGGUCUCAUACAUUUUUCUAGCUCCUUAGAAGCUCUUACCUCUGGGAUCUCAUUGCACUGGAAUGAAACUACACGAGUGUGACUGAAGGCCAACGGCGCAGACCAAGUGCUGUCUAGGUACGUUGUCGUGCUGCGGAGCAAGGACUUGGUGACCAGCGCAGCCAAAACACACAGUAUGGGGUCAAGACUUGUCCUCCCCUGGGCAAGAAAUGGAAUUCUUGCCAUGUCCACACUGUUUGUUAAAGUGCUUUUGUUCCAGAGAUGACUGCUUGCUUGUUUUCAAUUUCAACUGUGACACAAUAAAGACAGCUCUAAAUGUUAGAAAAUGUUUUCAGGGAGCAAAACACAGUACAACAUGGUGAACUAGGUGGUGGUAAGUGACGUCACAGGAAGGCAUUCUUUUUUUUCUUUUCUUUCUUUUUUUUUUUUUUAAGAGAAAGAGGGCG